rnacentral:RNase_P_RNA from 1 species
GAAAUGUUAGGAAAGUCCAUGCUAGCACAGCCUGUGAUGGCUGUAGUGUUUGUGCCAGUCCAAUAAAUAAGACUGGGUACCAGAAAUGGUAACGGCAAAAAUAUAGCCUAAGUCUAUGAUAUGGCUGUAUCUAACGUGCCACAGUGACGAAUUAACUAGAAAUGGUUGAGUGAAACGAGGUAAACCCCUCAAGCUAGAAACCCAAAUUUGGUAGGGGAGUCUUCAAGAGCGAACCGAAGCUUAAGAAGGAUACGAAAGUAUAGAUAGAUGGUUACCACUAGAAAUAGUACAGAACAUGGCUUAU